rnacentral:rRNA from 1 species
GUGAGGAAUAUUGCGCAAUGGGCGAAAGCCUGACGCAGCGACGCCGCGUGGAGGAUGAAGGUCUUCGGAUUGUAAACUUCUGUUAAGUGGGAAGAAAGGGCUGCUUUUAAUAGAAGCAGUUAAUGACGGUACCAUUAAAGAAAGCACCGGCUAAACUCGUGCCAGCAGCCGCGGUAAUACGAGUGGUGCAAGCGUUAUUCGGAAUAAUUGGGCGUACAGGGUGUGUAGGCGGUAUGUUAAGUCUGUUGUUAAAGACUCCGGCCUAACCGGAGACAGGCAGCGGAAACUGGCGUACUAGAGGGUGGAAGAGAGAAGUGGAAUUCUCGGUGUAGCGGUAAAAUGCGUAGAUAUCGAGAGGAACACCGAUGGCGAAGGCAGCUUCUUGGUCCAUACCUGACGCUGAAACACGAAAGCGUGGGGAGCAAACAGGAUUAGAAACCCGUGUAGUCC